UACGUAGGGGGCUAGCGUUGUCCGGAUUUAUUGGGCGUAAAGAGCGUGUAGGCGGCCCGAUAAGUCCGCUGUGAAAGUCCAGGGCUCAACCCUGGGAUGCCGGUGGAUACUGUCGGGCUCGAGUCCGGAAGAGGAGUGUGGAAUUCCUGGUGUAGCGGUGAAAUGCGUAGAUAUCAUGAGGAAUACCAGAGGCGAAGGCGGCUACCUGGACAAUUGCUGACGCUCAGGCACGAAAGCGUGGGGAGCAAAAGGG
rnacentral:rRNA from 1 species